UUUUCAGCAGGCUAGCAAAGCCAAGGAGUGGGCAGAGCACUUGCAUCCCUCUUCUCUACCCUGCCACUGGCUGUGGUCUUCCCUUCUGGUGCCUUUAGAUGCAAAACAGAAGCCAAUGUCAGCUCCUUGGAGCUAGUGACCACUCACUGUGUCUCCCAUCCCAAGGAACACUGCAUCUGCUUUUUAAAGGAGUCAUUCUGGUCAACCAAACUAUCAGGGUGUGGAAGAGAGAACAGAGGCCAGGGUGCCCCUAUCCUUGCUUGGUACCUCUCUUAAUAAGCACCUGUUCUACCCUGUUCUCUUGGGUCACUGGACAUACAAAAUCCUGAGAUGUGAACUCUGGGUUAUUACUAUAUCAAAUUAAAUUAAAAAAAAUUUAGCACUUUAAUUAACACAACACGAUCCUUGCACAGCAUUCUAGAGAACUUAUUUCCUCAGGCAGACAGGUCGCAUAGUGCUAAUGAAAACAGUACUGUCUUGAGAAGUUCAAACUCUGUCUGACAGGUAAACCUCCUUAUUGCCACAUAUUUUGCCAAAUUUUCUUGUACAAAAGAAUGGUGCUAGUGAUUAAAAUCUAAUAAAAUACCUCACAACAAAAGGGAAUGGUAUCUGCCUGUACCUGUAUCUAAUUGUCUUAUUUUGCAUUUUUAGGGUUCCUCUACAGAGAAGGAAGAGAAAAGUUGAAACCUCAGGCUGACUUGUCCUAGCAUCUCAUGCGAGUUGAAAAGGCCACACAGGACACACCUCAGUGUGUCAAAUCAUGAUAUAACACAUAAUUCCACCUGAGAAUGAAGAAAACCUCUUUGGUGGAAAUGCAAAUUUGAAGAUUUCUCAAACAUAUCUAAAAGGUAGCCAUUUUGUUGCAGCUAACGGGCAUUUCUUCAUGUGCUCUUCUCCCUUGCAGGAAGCUUAAGUGCUAUAAGGUUCUUUUGUUUUUCAACUCACGUACAUAGAAAGGAUAAAAGAUCAGAAUUCCUUUGAAGAGUGUUAAUUGUUGAAAACAUCAAUCUCUCCACAACUUCUACAGGAAGCAGAGGAAAAAUAAAGACACUGGACACAUAAAUGCUCAUUCAGAAACGUUCAUGCAGACUUGGAAUAUGAGUCUAGCCGAUAAAAGAAAAGAUUAAUGGUAAUGAGCAAUGCUGAAUAAAUGCACA